rnacentral:sRNA from 1 species
CUCGGAGCCGCCCAGCCCCGCACGUUCAGCUCCAGCGUCCGGCUGGGGGAGCUGCUGCGCCAGACGUGGCCUUCCGAGGGCGCCACCGGGGCCCAGAUCUGAACCUUAGGGGCCACUGAAAGGAGCUAGGUGCACCGACGCCGCGUUUGCGCAGGAACCACUCGGCAAGCCGGGAAAGAAGAGCUCGUCAGAGGAUCUUUUCUGGAGUUGCAUAUGAUAUAACCAUAGGAACCUCCCGGCUCCCUAACUGCGGAGGGGGCCUCCUGGAAUCACCUCAAACACCGAUUGCCACCCGCCACUGCCCAGCCCUCCAAAGGCCUCGCCGUGGGCAGCUUUGGAGGUGACUGAAACACAGAAGUGCUCGCCAACGCAGCAACUCUCUUCUCUCAGGCUGUUAUUAGUCCUCGUGGAGGGUGGGCAGAUGAAGAAAGUGACUUACCCUGGAUCCCUGUCCUUACAUGAAGGCAAGUCCUAGACCAACCCUCUUGUGACAGCUACCGUAGGGACAGCUCAGAGCCACCAGCCCGAGUACGAGGCUGGGAGAAAGCCGGGCAGAAGCCCGGGGGUGGCCAAUGAGGUCACCUGAUAUGUCCAAAUCCUUCUUAGAAAGCCUCCCUUGGGGCGGCCCCUACCUUUCCAAGCCCCUGUCUCGGCACCUCCGAGGGAAUCACGGGAGAGACUGACUCCAAACCCGGGAUUCCCAGAGCCUUCUACUGGGGCCCCUGUCCUCAACCGGGGAUGCCCAGGGGCCCCACGGGAACCUUUAUAUGACUCCUUAAUCCAGUGCACUUGAUACUGCCCCUUUCCAGACAGGGUGAGUAGUUCCGUCCGCUCUACUGAGAAACAGAAGCCCUCCAGAUGCCACCACGGGCUGGGGCCCCCAGGGGCCUUCAGGGGCCCCAAGAGAGGAGCGAUGUUCCCUCGCCCAGCGGUAGGCUCGAGUUUAGAAAGGUGGGGCAAAGGAACGGAUCCCGGAGAGGCUGGGAACUUUUUAAUGGCCGAAGAGUGGAGAAUAGUUACUGAGAAUCCAGUCUUGGAACAAGCAUGACCCGCGCCGACCGGGGUUGGGGGGGGGGGGAUAAACUUCUUAAAGGAGCCGUCUCGGUGAAUGGGUUCUCGGUCCACGGGAGAUUGCCAUCGCCACCCUCUGACCCCCAACUCUGGGCUCUGUUUGGAGGAGGGGGCCUGAAGCUUCCGGGACCAGCAGCCCCGGGUGGAUUUCAGACAGACAAGGGGAUUUCAGUGGGUAUGACUACCAAACUGCAAGGGCUCCUUUCUCUGCCACGUCCUUAGUAGGGAAAUUGUCUUUGACUUGAGAGCUGACGUUCGUAAAACAGUUUUUAAGCGGCGGCUUAGCUUAGGGGGGAGCUGACCGGGUGAAACUGCUGGGGGUGGGGUGGAGAAGAGGGCGUGCGGGAGGGAGCCCUACACUCCUUCCCUUGCACACUCCAGGAAGAAAGGCUUUGUUUGCCAGGGAUCUCCUCCGCGCGUCCCCCCCACCCCUAUUUUGCCCUCUGUUACGCCACCCGCGAAGGAUUUGUUUUCAUUUGCACCGCGAAGCCUCCCCCCACACACCCCCAGGUCCCACUCUAAGAACCCGCGUGGUGCUGGAUCUGCGGUGUAGAUAGACUAGAGAUGGCAGGGUACACAGGCGGGGCCGCGGGCUCAGAGGGAGGGGGCAAUGAAGCAGUGGCCCUUUGGCAGGACCUGGGCACCCUUGGGGGCCACACAGGCCCUGUAGGGCCGUGCCUCCGCAUUGCGGCACGCCGGGGUCCGCGGGCGCCGAAGCCGGACUGGUGGGGGAUUGCGACGUCCACUGCUCAACCUCAAGAGGCCUCCCCAGGCUGGCCUGAAGGAGCCUACCCGCCUCGUGCCCCGCGCUCAAUCGGGAGGCUCCGCGGCCCUGGGGAUCCCCGCCCCCGGGACCAUAUUUUAUAUAUGAUCUUUGAAGCCGACACAAUCGCCCACCGCUGCUGCUAGCACGCGCGAACAACGGCCUCGGCAAACCCUGUGCUUUUUAUUUGGGUUUCGUUAGCCCACCGCCUGGCCCAGGGUCCCCUCUGGCCUGGAGGUGCGCCCCGACACACCCUCCCCUUGCAUUUUGCUCUCGGGUGCCCCCGUCGUGCGCCCAAACCCAGCGGGGCCCACACACAAGCCAGAUUUCUUUCUUUCUUCUUUUUUCCCCCUAACCAGAGCUAGCUGCUGCAGCCAGCCCCGGAAUGAAAUGAAAAUCGCUCCGGCGGACCCCAAAGAGAUCGUCAGCCGAGGCGCCCCCGCCUCCCCGCCCCCACCCGCCUCCCCAGCUCCAGCCUCACGGCGCGCACAGGGUUAAGCGCGCGCCCGAGGGGGGUAUUUGAAUCCUAGGUGGGAGAAGAGGGGGCGCCGGGCGCAGCAGGCAGAGUAUCUGGGCUUGGUUUCGUCUGGUUCCCCCAAAACCCUGGGCAGAGGGGCGGGUCGGAUCGGAAAGGCCAGGCGCGUCUCCACCUCUCUGGCUGGCCCGGAGCCCGGUCUGGCCGCGGCCCGGAACGGCGAGGACGCUGUUCGGAGGCCGCGUCCUGCGCAGCCCGAGCGGGGGAGGGGGCGGAGGCGAAGGCUGGGAGCCCGGGCUGCGCGUCGCCGCCAGCCGAUCGAUCCCCUGGGGAGGGAGCGCCGCAAGCUACGCUGAACACCUGGGGGUGGAGUGGGGGGGUUGUCCCCCGCAGGACCUAGGACCGAACGAAGAUGGUGGUCGGGGAUCUUUUGGCGGUGGAUGGCGGCUGGUAGGGCCCACGCUUGCUGCCUGGCCUGCAGAUUACGCCUUGAGCACCCCCACACCCCCAAAUUCUACAUCGUGUUUGUGGAACUGGGCUUUGGGCAUUUCUACAACCUACUCUGACCUGGGUGCAACUUCGUCCUUCCCCGUGGAGCGCCCCCAACAUCCCGGGUCCAGGCCCCACCCCCACGCGCGAUGACGAAGUCGAGGGAUGUGGUCACUCAGUCCAACCUUCUGGCCCUCCUGAAUCCUGAGAUGUGUGGGUGUCCCUUUGAUUCCACCUCCAGAAAGAUAGUCUCGGUCAAGAAGUCCCUGGCUCAAUUCACUUCACCAAGAUGUUUUCCAGGGUGGUCCCUGAGGACUCCUGGGACAUCCGCUUGGCCCCUCACCUGCCAGCUCCAGUGCUCAGUGGUCGGAGCUGGGGCAGGGGCGCAGAGGCCUGCACUUGCGGAGCCCUCCCCUAGGGGGCGGGCUCCUCUCGGGCUGGCUCGAGGUCCCAGACUGCCCCGUCUGUCCUUAGUCUCUUUGACUGUAAGCUGGGCCCAGUGUGUUUGUAGGGGUGUUUCCCUGUCGCUGGGGUUGGCCGAGCAAUCUUCGAAGGCCCUGCCUCCUGUGCUCAACCCCGCCUUCACACUCCUGAGCCUUUGGAUAGAAACAGCCUUCCUCUGAGAGACUUUGAACCCUAGGAGUUCCUGAACACUCAAGACUGAACACAUUCUAGACUCUAGAGCAGUGCCUGGAAUGCAGUGGGUGACACCGUGCGCUGGUCAGUGGAUAUACAGGGCUUUAUCCAGAGCAGGUUUUUCGAGACAGGAUUUCUCUGUGUACCCCUGGAUGUCCUGGAACUCAGUCUGUAGACCAGCUUGGCCUUGAUUUCAGAGUUCUGCCCAACCCUGCCUCCUGAGUGCUGGGAUUAAAGAUGUG